UACGAAGGGGGCUAGCGUUGUUCGGAAUCACUGGGCGUAAAGCGCACGUAGGCGGCUUUGUAAGUUAGAGGUGAAAGCCCGGGGCUCAACCCCGGAAUAGCCUUUAAGACUGCAUCGCUUGAACACGGGAGAGGUGAGUGGAAUUCCGAGUGUAGAGGUGAAAUUCGUAGAUAUUCGGAAGAACACCAGUGGCGAAGGCGGCUCACUGGACCGUUGUUGACGCUGAGGUGCGAAAGCGUGGGGAGCAAACAGG
rnacentral:rRNA from 1 species